rnacentral:tRNA from 6 species
GUCCCCAUCGUCUAGCGGCCUAGGACACCGCCCUCUCACGGCGGUAACCGGGGUUCGAACCCCCGUGGGGACGCCA